rnacentral:sRNA from 1 species
CUUCCCAUAGACCUGUUUAAAAUUUCUUUCCUCUCGUCUUCCACACCUAAUUUUACUAUUGUCUUAUUUCACUAGGCAAAGUUUCAAUGUUCUUGAAAUAUGGAUGUUAAAACACUCAGGAGAUUGCUUUCAUUGGAGAACAAAUCUUAGGCUGCAAAUCUAGUAUCACCUGCAUAGUACUUACAUGUAGAAAUUUCAGAUUCAGAACUCAAUCAAAAUGCAUAUUUCAAGUGUUAUAUUAACGUGUUUCUUUUAUAUUUAGGUGUUUUCAUUCACGGAUUAUUUCUGGAUGGAGCUUCCUGGAAUAGAAAGAUCAAGAAACUUGCAGAAUCGCAUCCCAAAAUUCUUUAUGAUACAGUGCCUGUGAUGUGGCUAAAGCCCUGUAAGAGGGCAGAUAUACCGAAACGGUCAAGUUAUGUUGCUCCAUUGUAUAAGACAAGUGAGCGGAGAGGAGUAUUAUCCACCACUGGCCAUUCCACGAAUUUUGUGAUUGCCAUGACUCUUCCCUCUGACCAACCCAAGGAACACUGGAUUGGACGAGGUGUAGCACUGUUAUGUCAACUUAAUUCAUAACCAGAAGACGUCAUUUCCUUGUUCCUAUUUCUUGUUGGCUGGCUAAGUAGAAAGCAUAUUUUACUACUUAAACCUUUUUUUUUUGUUUAAAUACAUUUGACUAAAGUUAUAAAAUUAUGAAUUUACUUAUGAGCAAAUGCAGAUAAACUUAAUAUGACUCA